rnacentral:rRNA from 1 species
AUUGAACGCUGGCGGCAUGCUUUACACAUGCAAGUCGAACGGUAACAGGCCGCAAGGUGCUGACGAGUGGCGAACGGGUGAGUAAUGCAUCGGAACGUGCCCAGUCGUGGGGGAUAACUACUCGCAAGAGUAGCUAAUACCGCAUACGAUCUAUGGAUGAAAGCGGGGGACCGUAAGGCCUCGCGCGAUUGGAGCGGCCGAUGUCAGAUUAGGUAGUUGGUGGGGUAAAGGCUCACCAAGCCAACGAUCUGUAGCUGGUCUGAGAGGACGACCAGCCACACUGGGACUGAGACACGGCCCAGACUCCUACGGGAGGCAGCAGUGGGGAAUUUUGGACAAUGGGCGCAAGCCUGAGCCAGCAAUGCCGCGUGCAGGAAGAAGGCCUUCGGGUUGUAAACUGCUUUUGUACGGAACGAAACGGCUCUGGUUAAUACCCGGGGCUAAUGACGGUACCGUAAGAAUAAGCACCGGCUAACUACGU